rnacentral:lncRNA from 1 species
CUCCCUCAUUCCCUCUCUGUUUCAUCUCUUUUUCUGUCUCUCUCCCAUCUCUCACUCUCUCUCUCAUUCCCUCUUUGUUUCAUCUCUUUUUCUGUCUCUCUCCCAUCUCUCACUCUCUCCCUCAUUCCCUCUUUGUUUCAUCUCUUUUUCUGUUUCUCUCCCAUCUCUCCCUCAUUCCCUCUAUAUUUCAUCUCUUUUUCUGUCUCUCUCCCAUCUCUCUCACUCAUCCCCUCUCUUUCACCACUUUUUCUGUCUCUCUCCCAUCUCUCUCACUCUCUCCCUCAUCCCCUCUAUCUUUCAUCUCUUUUUCUGUCUCUCUCCCAUCUCUCACACUCUCUCCCUCAUCCCCUCUAUCUUUCAUCUCUUUUUCUGUCUCUCUCCCAUCUCUCACUCAUCACCUUUAUCUUUCAUCUCUUUUUCUGUCUCUCUCCCACCUCUCACACUCUCCCUUAUCCCCUCUCUGUUUCACCACUUUUUCUGUCUCUCUCCCAUCUCUCUCACUCUCUCCCUCAUCCCCUCUGUUUCUUCUCUUUUUCUCUCUCUCCCUCAUCCCCUCUAUCUUUCAUCUCUUUUUUUGUCUCUCUCCCACCUCUCUCACUCUCUCCCACAUCCUUUUUCAUCUAUUUUUCUCUCUCACAUUCCCUCUCCCAUCUCUUUUUCUGUCACCCUUCCAUUUCUAUUAAUCUUCCAUCACUUUCUUCAUUUUUCCUUCCAUUUCUGUCCCACUCUCCCAUCUCUCUCUCUCUUCUACAUUCCACAUCCUCUCUUUCAUCUUUUUCUGUCUCUCCCAUCUCUUACUCUCUUCCACAUCCCCUCUCUUCCAUCUUUUUUCAGUGUCUCUUUCCCAUCUCUCUCACCCUCCCAUCUCUUUCUCUCACUUUCCCUCACUUUCUGUCCCACUCUCCCAUCUCUCUUAAUGCCUUCUAUAUCCAUUACCUUUUAGUGUCUCUCUUCCAACUUUUUGUGCUCUCUCCCACAUCCUCUCUAUUUCUCUCCCUCAUCCCCUCUCUUUGUUUGUGUCUCUCAGUUUUAGUCUCACUCUUACUUUACUCCUCUUUUUUUGUCUUACUUUCUCCUACAUCCCCUCUUUUGUCUCUCUUUCUUAUACCUCUUAUACCUCUCUUUCUUAUACAGGCUCUUUCCCAGAGCCUUUCUAUCUCAAUCUCACCUUCCAGUCUCCCAUACUCUCAUACAUCAGUCCCUCUUUCCUGUCUCACUCUUCUGACUCUCUAAGUUUCAUCUGCAUCCUUUGUUUCUCUCACUCGCUCCUUCUAUUUCUGUCUCCUUUUGCCUCACCCCCUUCUCUUCCAUGUCCCAUGUCUUUUACAUCUCAUCUUACUCUUCCCACCUCCUAUUUUGUGUCUCACAUCUCUACCUCCCUCCCCCUCCUCUCCUUCUUUC